rfam:Deltaproteobacteria bacterium RIFCSPLOWO2_02_FTLL_57_26 rifcsplowo2_02_scaffold_8412, whole genome shotgun sequence.
ACCUUAUCCAGAGUGGUGGAGGGACAGGCCCGUUGAAGCCACAGCAACCGGUUCCAUCCUUCGGGAUGGAAUGCUGGUGCUAAUUCCCGCCCCGGUUUAGGGGGAAGAUAAGGU